UAAAAGCACUAGGGAUGCCGUCAGUAGCGGCUGAGAUAAAUCUAUGGCGAUUUGGCCCCUUAGAACCUGUUAAGUUAGUACUUGCGUAGGGAAAGUGUUGGUUAAUAACU
rnacentral:ncRNA from 2 species